rnacentral:rRNA from 1 species
AUUGAACGCUGGCGGCAUGCUUUACACAUGCAAGUCGGACGGCAGCACAGAGAAGCUUGCUUCUUGGGUGGCGAGUGGCGAACGGGUGAGUAAUAUAUCGGAACGUACCGAGUAAUGGGGGAUAACUAAUCGAAAGAUUAGCUAAUACCGCAUAUUCUCUGAGGAGGAAAGCAGGGGACCUUCGGGCCUUGCGUUAUUCGAGCGGCCGAUAUCUGAUUAGCUAGUUGGUGGGGUAAAGGCCUACCAAGGCAACGAUCAGUAGCGGGUCUGAGAAGAUGAUCCGCCACACUGGGACUAAGACACGGCCCAGACUCCUACGGGAGGCAGCAGUGGGGAAUUUUGGACAAUGGGCGCAAGCCUGAUCCAGCCAUACCGCGUGUCUGAAGAAGGCCUUCGGGUUGUAAAGGACUUUUGUCAGGGAAGAAAAGGAUAGGGUUAAUACCCCUGUCUGAUGACGGUACCUGAAGAAUAAGCACCGGCUAAUAC